rnacentral:rRNA from 1 species
GACGAACGCUGGCGGCGUGCUUAACACAUGCAAGUCGAACGGAAAGGCCCUGCUUUUGUGGGGUGCUCGAGUGGCGAACGGGUGAGUAACACGUGAGUAACCUGCCCUUGACUUUGGGAUAACUUCAGGAAACUGGGGCUAAUACCGGAUAGGAGCUCCUGCUGCAUGGUGGGGGUUGGAAAGUUUCGGCGUUUGGGGAUGGACUGGCGGCUUAUCAGCUUGUUGGUGGGGUAGUGGCUUACCAAGGCUUUGACGGGUAGCCGGCCUGAGAGGGUGACCGGCCACAAUGGGCCUGAGGUACGGCCCAGACUCCUACGGGAGGCAGCGGUGGGAAAUAUUGCAAAAUGGGCGGAAGCCUGAUACAGCAACGCCGGGUGCGGGAUGACGGCCUUCGGGUUGUAAACCGCUUUCGCCUGUGACGAAGCGUGAGUGACGGUAAUGGGUAAAGAAGCACCGGCUAACUACGUG